AGUCGUAACAAGGUAACCGUAGGUGAACCUGCGGUUGGAUCAUUACUUAACUUAAAAAUGUUUUGACUUUCUUAAGUCUUAACUUUUUAAUGAUUCUUCUUAACUUUAGUUCUAACUCGUUAAAAAGUUAGCGCUAAGUUUUUAAGAGUCCCAACCCAAAUGUGAACUUGUUAAACACAAUACCCAUCAGUGGGUUCAAAACUAAAUAGAAGUUUUUCUGUUUGAAUUUGAUCCCACUGUUGGAGUAUCAAUAUAAACAUUGACCCAAAACUUAAAAGUUAAAUUGGACCCAUUAAAUAAUUAAGAAACAACUUUUGACAACGGAUCUCUUGGCUCUU
rnacentral:misc_RNA from 1 species